rnacentral:rRNA from 1 species
CUUUUACAAUGAAGAGUUUGAUCCUGGCUCAGGAUGAACGCUAGCUACAGGCUUAACACAUGCAAGUCGAGGGGCAGCAUCAUCAAAGCUUGCUUUGAUGGAUGGCGACCGGCGCACGGGUGAGUAACACGUAUCCAACCUGCCGACAACACUGGGAUAGCCUUUCGAAAGAAAGAUUAAUACCGGAUGGCAUAAUUAUUCCGCAUGGGAUAAUUAUUAAAGAAUUUCGGUUGUCGAUGGGGAUGCGUUCCAU